rnacentral:rRNA from 1 species
UACAGAGGUCCCAAGCGUUGUUCGGAUUCAUUGGGCGUAAAGGGUGCGUAGGCGGCGCGGCAAGUCGGGUGUGAAAUCGUCGGGGCUUAACUCCGAAACUGCAUUCGAUACUGCCGUGCUUGAGGACUGGAGAGGAGACUGGAAUUUACGGUGUAGCGGUGAAAUGCGUAGAUAUCGUAAGGAAGACCAGUGGCGAAGGCGGGUCUCUGGACAGUUCCUGACGCUGAGGCACGAAGGCCAGGGGAGCAAACGGG